rnacentral:misc_RNA from 1 species
GAAAAAUGAAAAUUACACUAAUAGCAAUGAAAAGUGAGAAAAUUUAUUAAAAAAUAAGAGGGAAAAAAAAUAAAGCGAGAUUCGCUUUCAAGAAAGCAAGUGAAUAAAAUACAAAAACAAGAACCAAUGUAGGAAUCGUGUUAAUGAAAAAAGCAAGAAAAGCUUGAAGAAAUAGCCAUAGAAUCACCCAUCCGAUACUUCACCUGCCAUUAG